rnacentral:tRNA from 1 species
GGCUCGUUGGUCUAGGGGUAUGAUUCUCGCUUUGGGUGCGAGAGGUCCCGGUUUCAAUUCCCGGACGAGCCC